UACGUAGGUGGCUAGCGUUGUUCGGAUUUAUUGGGCGUAAAGGGUCCGCAGGGGGCCAAUCAAGUCUGAUGUGAAAUCCCAAGGCUCAACCUUGGAACUGCAUUGGAAACUGUUUGGCUAGAGCAUCGGAGAGGAGAAUGGAAUUCCAGGUGUAGCGGUGGAAUGCGUAGAUAUCUGGAAGAACACCAAAGGCGAAGGCAGUUCUCUGGACGAUUGCUGACCCUCAGGGACGAAAGCAUGGGGAG
rnacentral:rRNA from 1 species